GACGAACGCUGGCGGCGUGCUUAACACAUGCAAGUCGAACGGAAAGGCCCUGCUUUUGUGGGGUGCUCGAGUGGCGAACGGGUGAGUAACACGUGAGUAACCUGCCCUUGACUUUGGGAUAACUUCAGGAAACUGGGGCUAAUACCGGAUAGGAGCUCCUGCUGCAUGGUGGGGGUUGGAAAGUUUCGGCGGUUGGGGAUGGACUCGCGGCUUAUCAGCUUGUGGGUGGGGUAGUGGCUUACCAAGGCUUUGACGGGUAGCCGGCCUGAGAGGGUGACCGGCCACAUUGGGACUGAGAUACGGCCCAGACUCCUACGGGAGGCAGCAGUGGGGAAUAUUGCACAAUGGGCGGAAGCCUGAUGCAGCAACGCCGCGUGCGGGAUGACGGCCUUCGGGUUGUAAACCGCUUUCGCCUGUGACGAAGCGUGAGUGACGGUAAUGGGUAAAGAAGCACCGGCUAACUACGUG
rnacentral:rRNA from 1 species